rnacentral:rRNA from 1 species
ACUCCUACGGGAGGCAGCAGUGGGGAAUAUUGCACAAUGGGCGCAAGCCUGAUGCAGCCAUCGCCGCGUGUAUGAAGCAAGGGCCUUCGGGUUGAUAAAGUACUUUCAGCAGUGAGGAAGGUGGGUAUGUUAAUAGCAUACUCAUUUGACGUUAGCUGCAGAAGAAGCACCGGCUAACUCCGUGCCAGCAGCCGCGGUAAUACGGAGGGUGCGAGCGUUAAUCGGAAUUACUGGGCGUAAAGCGCAUGCAGGUGGUUUGUUAAGUCAGAUGUGAAAGCCCGGGGCUCAACCUCGGAAUUGCAUUUGAAACUGGCAAACUAGAGUACUGUAGAGGGGGGUGGAAUUUCAGGUGUAGCGGUGAAAUGCGUAGAGAUCUGAAGGAAUACCGGUGGCGAAGGCGGCCCCUGGACAGAUACUGACACUCAGAUGCGAAAGCGUGGGGAGCAAACAGGAUUAGAUACCCUGGUAGGAUAG